rnacentral:rRNA from 1 species
AUUGAACGCUGGCGGCAGGCCUAACACAUGCAAGUCGAGCGGAUGAAGGGAGCUUGCUCCUGUAUUCAGCGGCGGACGGGUGAGUAAUGCCUAGGAAUCUGCCUGGUAGUGGGGGAUAACGUCCGGAAACGGGCGCUAAUACCGCAUACGUCCUGAGUGAGAAAGUGGGGGAUCUUCGGACCUCACGCUAUCAGAUGAGCCUAGGUCGGAUUAGCUAGUUGGUGGGGUAAGGGCCUACCAAGGCGACGAUCCGUAACUGGUCUGAGAGGAUGAUCAGUCACACUGGAACUGAGACACGGUCCAGACUCCUACGGGAGGCAGCAGUGGGGAAUAUUGGACAAUGGGCGAAAGCCUGAUCCAGCCAUGCCGCGUGUGUGAAGAAGGUCUUCGGAUUGUAAAGCACUUUAAGUUGGGAGGAAGGGAAGUAAGUUAAUACCUUGCUGUUUUGACGUUACCAACAGAAUAAGCACCGGCUAACUUCGUG